rnacentral:rRNA from 1 species
CAAUAGCGUAUAUUAAAGUUGUUGCAGUUAAAAAGCUCGUAGUUGAAUUUCUGGUGGGCGCGCCGGUCUUCCAAGUGUUGUACUGGGCGCAGUCCGCCAUCCUUGUGGAGAGGGCUCGCAUUGAGUUGCGUGUCGGAUCUGCAUCAUUUACUGUGAAAAAAUUAGAGUGUUUAAAGCAGGCUGUCGCUUGAAUACAUUAGCAUGGAAUAAUAAGGUAGGACUUCGGUCUAUUUUGUUGGUUGCGAACCGAGGUAAUGAUUAAUAGGGAUAGUUGGGGGUAUUCAUAUUUAAUUGUCAGAGGUGAAAUUCUUGGAUUUAUGAAAGAUGAACAACUGCGAAAGCAUUUACCAAGGAUGUUUUCAUUAA